rnacentral:rRNA from 1 species
AAUAUUGGACACUGGGGGCAACCCUGAUCCAGCCAUGCCGCGUGUGUGAAGAAGGUCUUCGGAUUGUAAAGCACUCUAAGUUGGGAGGAAGGGUUGUAGAUUAAUACUCUGCAGUCUUGACGUUACCAACAGAAUACGCACCGGCUACCCCUGUGCCAGCAGCCGCGGUAAUACAGAGGGUGCAAGCGUUAAUCGGAAUUACUGGGCGUAAAGCGCGCGUAGGUGGUUUGUUAAGUUGGAAGUGAAAGCCCCGGGCUCAGCCUGGGAACUGCUUUCAAAACUGGCAAGCUAGAGUACGGUAGAGGGUAGUGGAAUUUCCUGUGUAGCGGUGAAAUGCGUAGAUAUAGGAAGGAACACCAGUGGCGAAGGCGACUACCUGGACUGAUACUGACACUGAGGUGCGAAAGCGUGGGGAGCAAAC